rfam:Triticum aestivum genome assembly, contig: Triticum_aestivum_CS42_TGACv1_scaffold_031593_1BL
GUCCUACUCCCUCCGUCCGGAAAUACUCGUCGAAAGAAUGGAUGUAUCUAGAUGUUUUUUAAUUCUAGAUAUAUUCAUUUUACUGCAUUUUUCCGACAAGUAUUUUCAGACGGAGGGAGUAGCUG